UGGGUACCGCCCCGGUCUAAAUUUCUUGGAACAGAAUGUCAAAGAGGGUGAGAAUCCCGUCUUGGAUCGGCGGUAGGGCCUGUGUAAAACUCCUUCGACGAGUCGAGUUGUUUGGGAAUGCAGCUCAAAAUGGGUGGUAAAUUUCAUCUAAAGCUAAAUAUUGGCCAGAGACCGAUAGCGCACAAGUAGAGUGAUCGAAAGAUGAAAAGCACUUUGAAAAGAGAGUUAAACAGUAUGUGAAAUUGUUGAAAGGGAAGCGCUGGCAACCAGACUUGAGCGCGACGGUUCCUCCUGCCUUUUGGUUGGGCUACUCCGUCGUGUCCAGGCCAACAUCGGUUCUGAGGGUCGGUCAAAGGCYNNGGGAAUGUACCUACCCCCGGGAGACUUAUAGACCAGGGUGUCAUGCGACCUCUCGGGACCGAGGAACGCGCUUCGGCUCGGAUGUUGGCGUAAUGGUUGUCAGCGACCCGUCUUGAAACACGGACCAAGGAGUCUAACAUCUAUGCGAGUGUUUGGGUGUCAAACCCGGAACGCGGAAUGAAAGUGAACGGAGGUAGGAAGCUUCGGCUGCACUAUCGACCGAUCCUGAAGUUUACGGAUGNAUUUGAGUAAGAGCAUAGCUGUUGGGACCCGAAAGAUGGUGAACUAUGCCUGAAUAGGGUGAAGCCAGAGGAAACUCUGGUGGAGGCU
rnacentral:rRNA from 1 species